CUGCCUACGGGAGGCAGCAGUGAGGAAUAUUGGUCAAUGGUCGGGAGACUGAACCAGCCAAGCCGCGUGAGGGAUGAAGUAUUUCGGUACGUAAAGCUCUAUCAGCAGGAAAGAAAAUGACGGUACCUGACUAAGAAGCCCCGGCUAACUACGUGCCAGCAGCCGCGGUAAUACGUAGGGGGCAAGCGUUAUCCGGAUUUACUGGGUGUAAAGGGAGCGUAGACGGCAGCGCAAGUCUGGAGUGAAAUGCCGGGGCCCAACCCCGGAACUGCUCUGGAAACUGUGAAGCUGGAGUGCAGGAGAGG
rnacentral:rRNA from 1 species